GUUGAACUCCACGGCAACACUUCCGGUAAUAACAAUGUCGGAUUCCACCAUACAAAAUAAUCUUGGAUUAUGUGAAGGUCAGGAUUAUACAGUGCAAACACAAUAAAAGGUAGGACAGAAGUGGAUUUUUGGACCGGAUUUUCCUUCCGCUAAUCGAAAAACAUGAUCUUUAGUAAACACGGUCGAUAUUUAAGAAAAUUUUGACAAAAAACAUGGUGCCAAUUUUACGUGACGGCGACUAUAAUAA
rnacentral:lncRNA from 1 species